GAGACAUCUUCCACUGAGAAAGGAAUGCUGCAAGAUCACCGGAAGGAAACAGUGAAGAUUCGAGAGUUUAGGGAGAGAAAUCGAGAAAUUUUGUUUUUUUUUUUUGGUUUUUUUCUGCGUACCUUGAAUCGACGUCGAGCAAAAAAGAAGGUAGACAUGAUUCGAAGUUGUACCAGAAACUUCACUGCUUGCCUUAUGUGUUGAAGUUCAUCCCAUGGUGAUCGUGCUACUGCUGCCUGUAGAAGACAAAAAAAGAAUUAUAUAUUCUCCGUUGCUAACCGAACAACACUCUCGGCGAAGCAACAAACUGCCACAAGAUAAACUUUAUGGGACCUGGAGACCAUUAAGACUCAGUCAAGAAACAGGAAAAUAUAAAUUAAGCCUGAAAUGAAAAUCUUCGAAGGUUCAUUCUCUUACAUGGUUCUCUGCCAUAUAGGUCAAGGUAUGUUCAAGCUUGUUGACAAUGUUCUGCCACUGUACAUAUGAUGCCUGUUGCUUGGCAAUUGUGUUCAAGUGGAUGCUUUUAGUCACGUCUCGCAAAGUUCUUGCUCUUGUCGGUCUUGGUGCCUGAUAAAUCUCACAUAUAACACAUUAUUAACAUAUGUGAUUAGCACGAUAAGUUCCAUAGUAACU